UCACCUGGGAUUUUGUUAAAAUCACAUCCUGGUUUUUUAGGUCUGAGUUGGGGCCUGAGAUUCUGCAUUUCUAACAAGCUCCCAGGUGAUGCCAAU
rnacentral:miRNA from 1 species